GCAAGAGUCAGGAUAAGAAGUAUGACACUCACAGUGAAAGCACAAAACAUCAAGCCAACAGUUCAGGACUAGUCAUUCAAAUGGACUAAAGACGCCAAGAACCUGGACACCCUCCACCGGUAACAUAUUUUGGCGAGCCAGACAAGAGUAGUAUGAUGCCUCUGGCUUCCCUCUAUCACACGUCUUCUUUUCGAGUAAAGGUUUUUCAUAAAUGUGAGCGUGGAAGAAGAAACCAGAUGGUGUCAGAAGCGGAUCCGAAGUGGAACUUUUAGUGACCCUCAGGAGCACUGAAUGAACAUGCAAGGAACCUGCAGGACCCACUUGUGUCCAUUGAUCUCUGGGAGCAGCUGGGAUAAGCUCCUUUUCGGAUUUCAGAGCUCCAUGGACUUGUGUCUUGAGAUCCCUGAGUUUCUUUGAGCAAAUUUCUGAUCCAAAAUGGGUUUGGCAUCAUGGCAGAAACAGGACUGGGUCCACGAAUGGAUUUGAUCCAGGAAUGAACUGGCUUGGAUCCAGUCAGAGGUCUCUUACAUCUGACUGGGUCAGAAAGGAACUGGUAGUAAGCAGUAAUAUUGCAGAGGUUAUAACAUUUGGCUUUUAAAAAAUAACAGGAAUUUUUGUGUUCUACCUCCUAUGUUAAAUUUUUCUUGUAUACUUAGGUAGAAAAAAGUCAUUGGCUAAGUUAAUCAAGAGAACCUGAGAGUAAAGCCAAUAUUUUAGCAGGAUGGUGUGGCAAGCUGAGUCACUAAGGCUGCUCAGGGAAAGGGAACCCAGAAUCUUGGCAUGCCGGCAAAAGGCCCAUGGUUCACUGAGGACAACUCCUUUGCAAUCUAGAACCCAAAGAUUGGAUCUUCUGAGAACAUCAGAGAAAGACUGUCCUUGCCAUCCACACUACAGCAAAGCUUUGGAGCCUUGAACCUUGGGUUCAUGAUCUUACAACUGAGAAGGGCCCCUCCACACUCCUGAACUGUACAACCAUUGAAACUCUUAAGGUAAAAUUAACUAGGAAAGUUUAUCUCCUUAAGAAGAUGGCAUCCUUGAUGUGAACAGCUUUUCCCAAGAUCCUGGAUCAAAACGUCUACUAUCACGAGACUCUUAUAUUUGAAUAUAUUUUCCGGUUUAUGCCUUUAGGAACAAUUGAAAUGAAAGGGGGAUCUAUUAUGUGCACUUAUAGGGUAUACUUUUAUUUGUGAAGGAUUUUGCAUCCAGCCUUAUAUGAAUAACCUUGUACUUUAAUAGAUAAAAGAUGAAGGCUCAAUGUAGGUGAGAAAAUGUAGUGGUACAUAUGUUGCCUCAUAAUCAGUCAAAACUCUUCUUAACCCACAUAAUGGAUUAAAGAGAAUAUUGCCAGGAGGCCUUCGCUUUUCUAAAAUGACAUCAUUUGUUAGGUCCUUUUUCCAUAGUUUAGUAUAAAAGAGGCAAUAAUUAGAAAUGUCACCCUCAUAAUAGGCUCUACAGCAAAUUCUACUUUAAAGGCUAUUGUUACACAACAGACUUUAAAUUAUCUUGUAAAAGUUAUGCUAAAUAAUAGAAUUGGCCAAACAGAAAAGUACCUGUGCAGUUGCUGACACCUGUGGCCUAUGGAGAAAUACAUCAAAUGUAGAUUAUACAAUUUCAGUUGUAGGGGAUUAAUGAAAAGACCACCUAGUCAAGCAAGUAGGCUCUUCAUAUAGCUCAUUCUUUAAUCUAUUUAAUUUUACAUGGUUUGGUUUAUGGGGACCCUGGGUAAGGAGCACACUCCAAAUUUGUUAUUAUUCUCCCAGUACUCAUAAUGAUAGUCUCCCUGAUGUGCUAUAUUCUCUUAAAGGUUUUAAAUGUUUGCAUGCAGCCAUCUCUAGAACAUCAAAUGGUCUCUAUUCAACCAGAAUGACAAAAGCUGAAAGAAAUGUGUGACCCUGAGGAUAUCGUAACCUACGAAUGAUGUGCUGAGACUGGAAACCCUAAAUGAUGUUACUGAGAAUGGCACUAAGGCCUUAAGUUUUGGUCACACUGUCACCUAAGUGAGAACCUGGCUGAAAAGGGAGAAUUUUUAAACAACAAAAUUAGAGGAAGCCACUAUUUUGGACUGAGCUCAUGCACUAGGCCCCAACAAACGAAACCAAGCUAAAAUGGAGUCACUCAUCCUAAAUGUGACAUAAUCAAACCAAGGCUUUAAGAACACAGAUAGAUGCUAGAACAGACUACAUUUUGUUUUUCUCCUGUAAACAGGAUGUCUAUCAUAAGGAGGUACCGUCUACUCAGUCCUUAUUCUCUCCUUGCAAAACCCACUUUUCUACUGUUUCCCAGUGGGUUUCAAACCAUAUAAUACAUUUAUGAUAGUGAUAUUAACAUCAAUGACUAAGGUUUUGGUCAAUCUCUCAAAAUUGAGAAAAUGACCAAAAGAGGGAAAUGAUUGCUAAAGCAAACUAAAUAUGGCCUGGGAAGAACUCCAUAGUCUUAUAUUUGAGUUCUUGCAGAUGAACUGUAACUUAGCUUAAUAGUCAGACAAAACUGAAAACCUAACUUAAUAGUAUGCGUCUGUAACAAUGGCUGAGUGUUCGCUAAUCCCAGCGGCCAUACUUCAACCACUCAUAGACUGCUGAAAGUUCAAAGUGCAUUCAAAUAAGGCAAAAACGGAGCUUAACCAGCCUCACUGUUUCUGUAUCUCACUUCCGAUUCCUGUAUGUCACUUUACCUUUUUUGUCUAUAAAUGUGUUCUGACCACGAGGCACCCCAGGUCUCUGUGAAUCUGUUGUAAUUCUGGAGGUGCCUGAUUCGCCAAUCAUUCAUUGCUCAAUUAAACUCCUUUAAAUUUAACUCAGCUGGACUUUUCCUUUUAUCAGGUUGAAUUUUACAUAUCUACUUUAGAUUUUAAUUUCUUCUAUAAAUUAAAAUCUAAUCUUCCAUAAUUUCUGAUAAAAUGUUUGUUAAAUGAACUCAAUGCAUUGGACAAAAAUUUCCUGUUGCUUUUCUUUCAAAGUACAUAAAUUGAUGCUACUUUUUCCACCUUUCUCACAUUUUCUCUGUCCCAAUCUUACACUGGAGGUUCAAUAGUCUUCUUCAUGCCUCAAGUUCUUUCUCUUGUAAUAUGAAAGGCAUGUGGCCACUUUCCUUUUCUAAUUCUUUCAUAAAUCUAAACAUUUUCACUACCUAUUGGUUACUAUGCUCACCAUCUGGGUGAAGGCAUCAUUUGUACACAAAAUCUAUAAAAUAUACUAUUUACUUAUGUAAAAAACCUAAACAUGUACCUGCUGAACCUAAAAUAAAAGUUGAAAAAGAAAAAUAAAUAAAUAAUACCUUCCCAGAAUAUUGCCUAUAGGAACAAGUCUAAAUUCCUUAAUACAGAGUAAAAUGGUAAUAAAAUUCUUGCCCUGAUUUUCUUUCUUAGGCCUAUGUCAUUUCAACACUCCCCAUCACCAUUCUUCCCCAAUCUCUUCCAUUUUUUGAGUCUAAAAUCCUUAAUACAUUGAAUUUUUGUUCAAUAUUUGUUAUAUGCCCAAAACUAUGCUAAGCUGCUGGACUCGUGCUCUUUCACAAUUCCUUUUCUGUUCCUUUCAGACUAGUGAAAUGAUACUGAUUUUUAAUGAUCUGUCUUUUCUUGGAAAUUUCCUAUUUCCAAAUGUCAAAAAAAGAACUUAUAAUUUUUGUCUCUCCAUUUCCAUAACACUUAUCAAUGUCACUGACAUAGCCCUAAUAAUUAUGAGAUGUACAUUGUUAGUUACACACAUUUCUUGUUUUCCUACUUUUGAUGUCUUUAAGGUCAGAGAUUGUAUUUUACUCGUUUGUAUUCCUAUCAGAAAAAAAACUGUGGCUUACAUGUAAUAUACAUUCAGUAAUUGUUUGAAUGAAAAAUGUAUUAAAAUAGUAUGAGUAUCCAAGUUGGUGAUUCAAUUUAGUUAAUCUCUUCUGAUACCCCUACCCCAAAAAGGCAUAUGUAAAAGUGCAUAAAAUUGUGUGUAUGAAUAUGUAGAUCAAUAGAUAGAAGCAUCUGUGAACACAAAUAAGAAAUUUAGGAAAUGAUUAUCUUAGAAACUCUUUAGCAUCAAAUCUUAUUUAUUUAUUUAUUUAUUUGCUAUAGCUUUUGGGGAAAAGUUGGAUUUUUGUUACAUGGAUAAGUUCUCUUGUAGUAAUUCCUGAGAUUUUGGUGCACACUGUACCCAAUCUGUAUUCUUUAUUCCUCACCCCUCUCCCCGCAUUCCCCUUGAGUCUCUGAAGUCCCUUAUAUCAUUCUUACGCCUUUGCAGCCUCAUAACUUAGCUCCCACUUAUAAGUGAGAUCAUACAAAAUUUGGUUUUCCAUUCCUGAGUUACUUCACUUAGAAUAACUGUUUCCAGCUCCAUCCAGGUUGCUGAAAAUGCCAUUAUUUCAUUCAUUUUUAUGGCUGAGUAGUAUUCCAUGGUGUAUAUAUGCCACCUUUUCUUUAUUUACUCUUUGGCCAGUGGACAUUUAGGCUGAUUUCAUAUUUUUGCAAUUGUGAAUUUUGCUACUAUACACAUGUAUGUGCAAGUGUAUUUUUCAUACAAUGACUUCUUUUCCUCUGGGUAGAGACCCAGUAGUGCGAUUGCUGGAUGAAAUGCUAGUUCUACUUCUAGUUAUUUAAGGAAUCUCCAUACUGUUUUCCAUAUGGGUGGUACUAGUUUACAUUCCCAACAGCAGUAUAAAAGUGUUCCCUUUUCACCAUAUUCACGCUAAUAUUUAUUAUUUUUUAUUUUUAAUUAUGGUCAUUCUUGGAUCUCAUUGUAUUUUCAAUUUGCAUUUCCCUGGUAAUUAGAGAUGUUGAGCAUAUUUUCAUGUUUGUUGGCCAUUUGGAUAACUUUUUCUGAGAAUUGUCUGUUCAUGUCCUUUGCCCACUUUUUAAGUUUAAUUUAAUACUAAUCCUACUAUUAUAUAUAUAUAUAUAAG
rnacentral:lncRNA from 10 species